rnacentral:tRNA from 2 species
GCGCUCGUAGCUCAGCUGGAUAGAGCAGCGGGUUUCUAACCCGCCGGUCGCAGGUUCGAGUCCUGCCGAGCGCA